rnacentral:lncRNA from 1 species
UAAAAACCAUAACAUAUGCACUCAUUAAAUACGUAACAAUUUAUGGAUCUGGAUGACUUUAUAUUUACAGGACCCAUAUGAGAAAAGUUUUACAUGUAGACAAAAGGUUUACUUCACAUGGGGGGUGCAUGUGAUGUGAAUGUACACUUACAUCUUCUGUCUACCAUGUGGAUUAACCCUUAGAUUUAUCUGUCACCAGCUAAGCAAUCCACCAAUCUGAUGCAUAUUUUUUUCUUGCCCCCCUCUUCCUUCUUCUCUCUCUCUCCCCUUCCUUCCCUCAUAAUCUUCUCCAACUUAAUUUUAAAUCUUGCAAAUCACACGCAUGCUUUUAACAAUAUUUAACAAAAUGGUAAAGUAGGGCUCAAUGCAUCAAAGG